rnacentral:rRNA from 1 species
UACAGAGGUCUCAAGCGUUGUUCGGAUUCAUUGGGCGUAAAGGGUGCGUAGGUGGCGCGGUAAGUCAGGUGUGAAAUUUCGGAGCUUAACUCCGAAACUGCAUUCGAUACUGCCGUGCUUGAGGACUGGAGAGGAGACUGGAAUUCAUGGUGUAGCAGUGAAAUGCGUAGAGAUCAUGAGGAAGACCAGUGGCGAAGGCGGGUCUCUGGACAGUUCCUGACACUGAGGCACGAAGGCCAGGGGAGCAAACGGG